CUUACCUUCCAUUGAACUCAGAGCUGGUUUUCUUCUGAUGCCUCUGAUUGUAGCUGAUCAUGUAGGGCAUUCAAAGAAAUUUUUGCCACACAGAUAUUGUAGGAUUCUGUGCUUCUACUCAAAGCCAUUCAGAGAAAGGAAGAAAGCCAUGUCAUUGUACUGAGCUGGCGGGAACUGCAGGAAAGGAAGCCCUCAAGCACUAUUCUGUAGAAUAGUGACUUCGAUGUUUCUGGAAGUCCAUAUUAGCACAGGAGGAUAGGAUAAGUUUUUCCCAAGAGCACGUUUUAUAAGAAUAAGGAAGAAGUUGAUCAAGAGAAGAGUCUGGAUGAGGCCAGAGUUGACACCUGAGGAAGCUGUUGCGAAAGUCCCGACAAUAUUAGAGAGUCGUGGUGGUCACAGAGAUGGAGAGAAGCAGAUAGAUCAAUGAGAUGCUUAAGAGAAUGAGCCCUCUCCAGGUCUUGGCCCCAUCUGGAGCUCCAGGUUCUGAGGUGAUUGUGAGACCAAAUUAUAUGACAUUCGUUUCUUGGGAUCAUUAAA